rnacentral:rRNA from 1 species
GACGAACGCUGGCGGCGUGCUUAACACAUGCAAGUCGAGCGGUAAGGCCCUUUCGGGGGUACACGAGCGGCGAACGGGUGAGUAACACGUGGGUGACCUGCCCUUAGCUCUGGGAUAAGCCUGGGAAACUGGGUCUAAUACCGGAUAUGACCUCAUGACUCAUGUUGUGGGGUGGAAAGCCUUGUGCGGCUAGGGAUGGGCCCGCGGUCUAUCAGCUUGUUGGUGGGGUAAUUGCCUACCAAGGCGACGACGGGUAGCCGGCCUGAGAGGGCGACCGGCCACACUGGGACUGAGACACGGCCCAGACUCCUACGGGAGGCAGCAGUGGGGAAUCUUGCGCAAUGGGCGAAAGCCUGACGCAGCGACGCCGCGUGAGGGAUGACGGCCUGGUGUAAC